rnacentral:rRNA from 1 species
CCGGCGCACGGGUGAGUAACGCGUAUCCAACCUGCCCACCACUUGGGGAUAACCUUGCGAAAGUAAGACUAAUACCCAAUGAUAUCUCUAGAAGACAUCUGAAAGAGAUUAAAGAUUUAUCGGUGAUGGAUGGGGAUGCGUCUGAUUAGCUUGUUGGCGGGGUAACGGCCCACCAAGGCAACGAUCAGUAGGGGUUCUGAGAGGAAGGUCCCCCACAUUGGAACUGAGACACGGACCAG